GUUCCCAGCACACAGCAUGAAGUCAGUCACCCUCUGUACGUGAUGUCUGACACACAUGUGAGAUUAUGCUCCCCCAGGGGCACCGGCUUGGAGGCUUGCAGGCAGGCGGUUACCUGCAAGCUUGAGUGUGAAGACAGAAAGACCAACCAGUGGGCAACCUGGAGCCCUCUGACCUUUUGGGAAUCUGGAGAUCCCGUUACAUUUCACCAGACCCUGGAGACACUGUCUCAGCUUUUCCCUAGACAAAUAUGCAGAACCCCCAACCACAACUGCCAGGUCUUCCACAGAGCUGAUUCCCUAAAUCUGCAUCUUUUACAAAAUUUUGAAAGCUUAAGGCAGUCUCUAAACAUUUCCUCGGCCUGGGAGCCCUACCGUCUUGGGCUUCAUAUCCCAGCCUCAGACCUUCUUACCUGGGGCUCUUCUCUGUGCUUUGGAGAACGCUUAUUCUCACAGAAUCCACGGCUUCCACCACCUUCCCUCCCUCAGUCAAAGACUCCAGAUAUCCCAACACACUCAACCCCCAUACCUGAUGCCUACUCCAGAUGCCUUCUUGUUGUCUCCUGCCCUGAUUCCUGGGGUGAGCUCUAUUUCAGCAUAAAGUUUUCCCACCCAAGACCAGCCACCAGCCUACAAUCCCAGGGAUGGCUCCAGAAUUCCAGGCCCUUCCAUACCUCUUGCCCAUCUCCCAAGACCCCCAGCCCUGCUCCUCUGCCCCCAUGUCCCUCCGACCCCAUAGCACAGGAACCUCUCUUAGCCCAGGUCCUCCCAACCCAAUUGCCACCUCCCACCUGCCCUGACCCAGUACCUCUUCCACAGAUGCUAUGCCCUAGGACCAUCCCCGGAUCACAGGAGGCAAGGACUUUAAGAAGCAUUCCAAACCCUGGCAGGUGGCUGUGGACCAUGAUGGUAGCCUUGCCUGUGGGGGUGUGCUGGUGCACCCACAGUGGGUGCUCACGGCUGCCCACUGCUCACACAAGUGAGUAUGAGCAGGGUGUGUGGGGAGGAGGUGUCUGUGCUCCCACAGGAUUAAACAACUGGGCACCGAUCCUGGGUUCACCUCAGGGGAGGCUGGGGGACUGAGGGAAACAGAUGGUACUGGUCUGGGUCCCAUGGAGAGUGGCAGAGACAACCCCAGGGAAGCCCUCCCAUGGCAGCCCGUGUCUCUCUGUCUCUCCCUGUAGUUGUGUCUCUGUGUCUCCCUGCCCUGUGUCUCUGUGUCUCUCAGUAAGUGGCUCUGUUGUGUGUCUGUCUAUCUGAGUAUGAUUUAUACCUGUCUCUCUCUCUGUUUGGUCUCAGUGUUUCUGUGUGUCUCCGUGUGUCUGUCCACCUCCGGGUCACUCUGCUGCCUCCCUGUCACUGUAGGUCUCACCCUCCAUCUCUCUGCCCCAUCUCUCUCUCUCUCUCUGGGUCUCUGCCUCGCUCCC
rnacentral:lncRNA from 1 species